ACCCUCCACUCCCUUUCCCAUCAGAUCUGAACACUGGUCUUGGUGGUCGUAAAGGAGAAAAAGACAUGUUGAAGCCGGCCUCACAGCCUUAGAGUCUGAUAUACAGCAUGGGAGUAGUUUCAAACAAGG
ensembl:snoRNA